rnacentral:lncRNA from 9 species
GCUUAGACCAAGGACAUGCGGGAGGAAGGGAGUGGUUCCGUGAGACGAUGGGAGCUCUGGGUGAGGCCUGCAGAAGUGCUAGAGCCAGUGGGGCAGGGGGGGCCCGGACCCCUCCUCCCGAUGAAGGCAGGGUCCCGGCUGUGAGCAGAGGAAGGGUUGGCUGGGCCAGAGUGCUGGGAAGUUCCCCGGAGGUCAAGCCACCGAGAAACCCGGGGGUAGGAUGGUCCGUCACGUGGGUCCCGGAGAAUAAAGCAGGAGGAGGGAGGGAGUCCUCGAAAUGAGACGGCCAGGGACGGCCAGCAGCUGAUAGGCUGGGUUUUGAGCAGGGAGGAAGAGGAACGCCUUUGAUGCCCAGGGCAUGCUGCCCCCUGCAGGAUGCUGCAGCCUGCGGGGUGUACAAGAGAGAGAACAUCCUGGAGAGAGGGCACCGGGCGAGGUGGGCAGUGCGGCAGAGCCAGGAGACCAUGCCCAGGAGAGGGUCAUGCCCCCAAGGGAAAAAAUAUGUUUCAGCUUUCAAGAAGCCCUUUUUCACCAUUUGGCUUUUCCAUAUGAAGACGCAUUUGCAUAUGUUGACCUCAACGCAAUCGCGAAGUCUCCCCAGUGUUAAUGACAAUAUAUGUCACUUCGGAAUGCCUUUGGCUGCAGAGACCAGAAAACUCCGUAGGGCACUGAAGCUGCCAGGGUCCUCUUCUCUCUCUCCCCUCGCCAAUCUCAAGUUGCCAACAUCCGUCUUGUUUGCCGACUCGAGCUUGCAAGGUGGCAGCCCUAACACCCACACCUGCCUUCAAGGACGUUAUUGGGGGGCCACGCAAACAGCUGUCUGA